AUUUUUAGAAUAUUGUAUGACUUUGAUUGAACGUAUUUGCUUCUGAUUUGGAUCGUGUUCGAUUGCUCUGAUAUUGUACCUUUCGGCUUGGAACACUGAAUAUAAUGUGAGAAAAGAUAAUGACUUAAAAUAGAUUCAGACUCGCAGUCGGGCUAUGUUGAGGAUCCUGCCAAUGGGGACUAAUACAUUGAUACCGCAAAAAGAUUAGUUGGUGAUAUGACCCUG
rnacentral:lncRNA from 1 species